rnacentral:rRNA from 1 species
GAUGAACGCUGGCGGCGUGCUUAACACAUGCAAGUCGAACGGUGAAGGCGGAGCUUGCUCUGCUGGAUCAGUGGCGAACGGGUGAGUAACACGUGAGCAAUCUGCCCCUGACUCUGGGAUAAGCGCUGGAAACGGCGUCUAAUACUGGAUACGAGCUGCGAAGGCAUCUUCAGCAGCUGGAAAGAAUUUCGGUCAGGGAUGAGCUCGCGGCCUAUCAGCUUGUUGGUGAGGUAAUGGCUCACCAAGGCGUCGACGGGUAGCCGGCCUGAGAGGGUGACCGGCCACACUGGGACUGAGGCACGGCCCAGACUCCUACGGGAGGCAGCAGUGGGGAAUAUUGCACAAUGGGCGAAAGCCUGAUGCAGCAACGCCGCGUGAGGGACGACGGCCUUCGGGUUGUAAACCUCUUUUAGCAGGGAAGAAGCGAAAGUGACGGUACCUGCAGAAAAAGCGCCGGCUAACUACGUG